rnacentral:lncRNA from 1 species
UAGGAAGAUACUUGAGGCCAACAGUUUGUCAAGAACAUUCUUGAUGACAUCAAGGAAAUAAUAUUUGAAGUUUUCUUUUGAAUGUGAGCAUAAGCAAUACUUUGAGUCCACUAUCCCCACAGGACUAUGUGGCCUUAAGGAAGGAGAUGAUUACAGCUGAAUAUCAGAGGAUACCUCUGUCGCUCCGGGAGGAGGAGCAACUGCAUCUGCAGGCCCUGGAGCGAGAAGCCAAGGAGAUUUGUGAACAACUCGAGUACAGUGUGUUCAGAAUGACUCAGUACAGAGCAAGUCUGAAAGAAAUGUACAGAGAGCUGACUGGGAUGUGCUGCAAGCCGGACGGGGAGCUGCUCCAGGUCUUGGCAAAUGUAUUGGAAAUGACUGACUUGGCAGAGACGCAGAAGCCUCAGCCAGUGAACCCAGAGCUCACUUGCUGGCCUGUCACUGGAAUCCUAGACACACUGAACAGCUUCAGAGUGGAUAACAUUCUGAGUCAGACAAUGACCAUUCACCACAUGAGCCUUUCUGAGGAUGGUGAUGAUGCAAGUUUGAUGUUCAGAGAUGAGCACCACGGAGCAUGCAGACAGCCUCAGAUUGUGGAGAGUGUCAUGUCCUGGGGCUCUCGGGCCUUCACCUCCGGGAGGCAUUACUGGGAGCUGGACGUGACGUACUCCUCC